rnacentral:pre_miRNA from 15 species
UGAAAGACAUGGGUAGUGAGAUGUUUAAUUAAUAAAUUUUGUCUCACUACCUUGUCUUUC